AUUGAACGCUGGCGGCAGGCAUAACACAUGCAAGUCGUGCGAGCGGCGGACGGGUGAGUAAUGUAUGGGGAUCUGCCUGAUGGAGGGGUGUAUCUACUGGAAACGGUAGCUAAUACCUCAUACCAUCAGAUGAACCCAUAUGGGAUUAGCUAGUAGGACAGGUAACGGCGUACCUAGGAGACGAUCCCUCGCUGGGCUGAGAGGAUGAACAGCCACACUGGGACUGAGACACGGCCCAGACUCCUACGGGAGGCAGCAGUGGGGAAUAUGGCACAAUGGGCGCAAGCCUGAUGCAGCCAUGCCGCGUGUAUGAAGAAGGCCUUAGGGUUGUAAAGUACUUGCAGCGGGGAGGCGUUACCAGCAGAAGAAGCACCGGCUAACUCCGUGCCAGCAGCCGCGGUAAUUC
rnacentral:rRNA from 1 species